GGUGUUAUUCAUCUACACUUGCUUAUGAAAGGCAAACCAACUCUUGUUUAUGCUUCGUCUGUUGCGUUAGGUGUAGUUAAUAUUAGCAACUCAUGGAUUUUUGUGCCAGAAGUAAAAAUUAAAAAAAUGUUAGUACAGAGAGCUUAUCUUAUAAUUCAAGUGAUUAAGAAUGAAUAAAAACACAAACAGUAAUGUUAUGUCACUAAGGCAACAACCCAACCAAAAUUCCAUAACUUUUUUCUUCCAUAUCUUCUAGUAUCAACUUUAGUUUUUUACCUAACAAGCUCGAGUUAGCUUUUUGAAAGUGAACACUGAAUAUCGGAUAGAUGUUACAAAAGCAAUACUUUGUCUGUUCCUUGUUCUUGUCCAAAACAAUUGCAUUGAAGAAUAACAUAAUCCCUUCCCAUAUGUUAGUUUAACCAUACUUUGUUUUUGUUUUUGUUUUUUUUCAACCUCAUUGGCCAGCAUUUCUUAUGGUUAAAUCAGACACUAUUAAUUCCUAAGCAUUUCUUAUGGUUAAAUCAGACACUAUUAAUGUUUGCUAAGCAUGAAUAAUAAAACUUAUGAUUGAUAUGCUUCUGUAGGUUGUCUGGUACCUAGAAACAAAGAUGGCAUGGCAUCUAAAAACGCAUGUUUGAAGAGAAUAUUAGACCUGUUAAUACUUUAAAGUUAGAAAAUUCAGCUUUUGGGAAAUGCUACUUUAAAGUUAGAAAAUUCAGUUAGAAUAUUAGACCUGCUACUAGAUUAUGGUGCUUUCUCUACCAGUUAUUAUGUUCUCUCUAGGAUAAGUAAAUAGGAAAAUCAAUGUCUUCGGUUGCUUUGUUACAAUGUAGAUAUAAAAUGACUGUAUUUAAUUUCAUGAGCAAUUGUAGAAAAAACUUAAAGAGCGGGAGAACGAAGCUAUAGAAGAUGGAUCUGGCCCACUAUCUGAUGAGCAGCUUUCCAUUGAGGUGUUUGGACGGAUGUCCAAAGGGUGUCACACCUAAGUACAGCUUGAAGCCUCUUGUGUCAAGCCUGUCUGAUAUAAAGCCUGAUAUUGAUGUUGAGAAAAUACUUUUUUAGAUAUUUUCUUUGUAGAAACUAUUGUAUUGUUGCUAUUCUUCAUUUGAACUGUUACUACUUUGAUCUGAAUUUGGAAACUUUUAGUUUUAAUUUUUGUCAAAUUUACUUUCUAUAUACUCAUUAUGGUUUGGGAAUAGAGUGGGUUUGAUAUGUGGAUGUCAAA